UACGGGGGGGGCAAGCGUUGUUCGGAAUUACUGGGCGUAAAGGGCUCGUAGGCGGCCAACUAAGUCAGACGUGAAAUCCCUCGGCUUAACCGGGGAACUGCGUCUGAUACUGGAUGGCUUGAGUUUGGGAGAGGGAUGCGGAAUUCCAGGUGUAGCGGUGAAAUGCGUAGAUAUCUGGAGGAACACCGGUGGCGAAGGCGGCAUCCUGGACCAACACUGACGCUGAG
rnacentral:rRNA from 1 species